rnacentral:rRNA from 1 species
GGUAACGCAGGUGUCCUAAGGCGAGCUCAGUGAGGACGGAAACCUCACGUAGAGCAUAAGGGCAAAAGCUCGCUUGAUUUUGAUUUUCAGUACGAUUACAGACCGUGAAAGCGUGGCCUAACGAUCCUUUUGAGACAAUAUGGCAAUUUAUUGUCGCACUUUAAGAGUUUUAAGCAAGAGGUGUCAGAAAAGUUACCACAGGGAUAACUGGCUUGUGGCAGCCAAGCGUUCAUAGCGACGUUGCUUUUUGAUCCUUSGAUGUCGGCUCUUCCUA